rnacentral:rRNA from 1 species
GGUGAACGCUGGCGGCGUGGAUAAGGCAUGCAAGUCAAACGAUCCUUCGGGAUAGUGGCAGACGGGGUAGUAACACGUAGGUACAUACAUCAAAGUCAGGAAUAACUAUGGGAAACCAUAGCUAAUACUUGAUAGUCCCUUCGGGGUAAAGAUUUAUCGCUUUGAAAUUGGCCUGCGGGAUAUCAGCUUGUUGGUAAGGUAAAAGCUUACCAAGGCUAUGACGUCUAGGGGAGGUGAGAGCCUGACCCCCACCAAUGGUACUGAGACACGGACCAUACACCUACGGGUGGCAGCAGUCGAGAAUCUUCCGCAAUGGGCGAAAGCCUGACGGAGCGACGCCGCGUGAUCGAUGAAGCUCUUCGGAGCGUAAAGGUCUUUUAUAGAGGAGGAAACUAGUGACGUUACUCUAUGAAUAAGGGGUUGCUAAACUCG